rnacentral:lncRNA from 1 species
AUGGGUGGCCAUUAUCAAGUUCCAGUGGGCUACAAGUUCAGGCCUUCAGAAGAAGAACUAUUUCUUCACUACCUUCUCCCCAAACUCAACGGAGAGGACUAUCCCAUAGGCAUUGUUCCUGACUGCGAUCUCUACGGUACAAAAGAACCAUGGGAAAUAUGGAGAGACUUCCACCACUCAUCACCAGAUGAUCAAGAAGACAUCUACGUCUUCACCACACUCAAGAAGAAGACUCCAAAUGGCAAGCGGUUUUGCAGAACAGUUGGCGCUGCCGGUACCGGAGUUUGGAAUGGAGAAGACUCCGGCAAGAAAAUACGUGCUUGUGGGAGUGAUAUUGGGAUCAGAAAACGAUUUCGGUACAUGAACCCUGGCUCGCCCCAUGAUGACCGAUGGAUCAUGCAUGAGUUCCAACUUGAUGAAUCUCUACUACGAGUGCGGAACAAAGAGACAAUUGUUCUUUGUCUUGUUAGAAAGAAAGAAACAUCGGGCAAAAGAAAGUUAGAAGAACUACAAGAUCAUGAAGACGUGCCUCCCCGUGGAGAAAUCCAAGCCCAACAUGUUCAUGAUGAUCAGCAGCACCAUAUUGGCCCAAGUACUUAUGAUCAACUUAGGGUUUUGGACCUUACGAACGAUGUGGAGGGUGAAGAUGACAUGGUUAAUCCAACUUUGCUUGCACAGUACGAUCAGCAGGAGCAUCUUGGCACAAGUACUGAUGAUCAACUUAUUAGGUUUUUAGAGGAUUACCUGGA